rnacentral:rRNA from 1 species
GACGUAGGGCGCGAGCGUUGUCCGGAUUUAUUGGGCGUAAAGAGCUCAUAGGCGGCUUGUCGCGUCGAAUGUGAAAACUCGGGGCUCAACUCCGAGCUUGCAUUCGAUACGGGCAGGCUAGAGUUCGGUAGGGGAGACUGGAAUUCCUGGUGUAGCGGUGAAAUGCGCAGAUAUCAGGAGGAACACCGGCGGCGAAGGCGGGUCUCUGGGCCGAUACUGACGCUGAGGAGCGAAAGCGUGGGGAGCGAACAGG